UAUACAGCGAAACUGCGAAUGGCUCAUUAUAUAAGUUACCGUUUAUUUGAUAGUGCCUUACUACUUGGAUAACCGUGGUAAUUCUAGAGCUAAUACAUGCUAAAAACCCCGACUUCGGAAGGGGUGUAUUUAUUAGAUACAAAACCAAUGCCCUUCGGGGCUCUUUGGUGAUUCAUGAUAACUAUACGAAUCGCACGGCCUUGCGCCGGCGAUGGUUCAUUCAAAUUUCUUCCCUAUCAACUUUCGAUGUUUGGGUAUUGGCCAAACAUGGUUGCAACGGGUAACGGAGGGUUAGGGCUCGACCCCGGAGAAGGAGCCUGAGAAACGGCUACUACAUCCAAGGAAGGCAGCAGGCGCGCAAAUUACCCAAUCCCGACUCGGGGAGGUAGUGACAAUAAAUACUGAUACAGGGCCCUUUCGGGCCUUGUAAUUGGAAUGAGUACAAUUUAAAUCCCUUAACGAGGAACAAUUGGAGGGCAAGUCUGGUGCCAGCAGCCGCGGUAAUUCCAGCUCCAAUAGCGUAUAU
rnacentral:rRNA from 1 species